rnacentral:lncRNA from 10 species
CCCAGUGCCCUCUUCUAAGCUCUUUAUCAUCAUAAUUUCUGAUGUAAAGAGCAUGAUGCCAUGGACAAAAUGGGCCCUCAGUGACUAUCCGAUGCAGGGCCAGGCACUGAAUGCAGAUGCAUAUACUGGAGCUCAGAGGAUUUCAGUGAGUUACCCCGGCCACAGCCAGUGAGCAGCGAUGUCAAGAUGUCUUGAAUCCUGGGCCUCAGCUGCAAAGCCGUAACCAGUCCUCUGUGUUCCCAUGGGCCAGUGCUUUACAAAGGUCCUUGCAGGUUCAUCCCUAGAAGAUUGUGGUAUUUCUGGCCAUACGCAGGAAAGGUGCCACAGAUGCUCAAGUAUAGGCAUCAGCUACCACCCCAUCUGCUGGUGGUGCUCAUACUUCUCCGGGAUACCUCCCCUCCAGUCUCCUCCACCCCUACAGGGUCAGCACUGCUCUUAAGCCUUGAAGUGUCACAUCUGCAUGGCAGCUGCCAGCAAAAGGGAGAAAAAUCUCUGUAUCCCUUCAGGUGACACUAGUUGCUGUAUGGAUAAACACCUAAAUCUCACUUGGCUGAACACAAUAAAAGUUUAUCUGGUGCUCACA